GGAGCCUCUCAAGUGAUGACCACAUAAUGCGCCUCAAAGAAGGUUACAUCAAAGAAGGAAGCACUGUAAGUGUAAUGGGGCUUGUAAGGCGCCAUGAGAAUGUCCUAAUGAUUGUUCCACCAGUAGAGCCUAUUUCAACAGGAUGUCAAAAUGCAGAUGUGAUCCGUGUAUAAGUUUGCUCAUAUACUUUCAAUUUUGAUUUCUGAUGAGUCAUGGUGAAAGAUUUGAGCAGAUGGCAAUGCGAGGACAGCAUAAUACCCAUAGGGAACAUGAGCAGAGAAAAACUGAAGAUUGUAGAUGUCUAAAAUUUAUCUUCCCACGUUUUAGCUGAUAUCCGGAAGAUGAGGACGAUAAAAGCGUGCUAUAUCUUAAGCAGCUACGUGUGUUAUAUCGUGCAAAUCUCUAUCAAGGUGUUUAUAUAUGUUCAUAUCUUUGUUCAGCUUUCAAUUCAUAUGCACAUUUGCCUGUGGGAUUCUCUGUAGAAUAUUUAGUUUCCAUAUCAGUGUAAUGAUUCAGCUUCUCUUAUAAUUGUAUAAGUUUUACUAUUUCA